rnacentral:rRNA from 1 species
CAUUUAUGGCUGUAAGAUGAGUAUGCGUCCUAUUAGCUAGUAGGUAUGGUAACGGCAUACCUAGGCGACGAUAGGUAGGGGUCCUGAGAGGGAGAUCCCCCCACACUGGUACUGAGACACGGACCAGACUCCUACGGGAGGCAGCAGUGAGGAAUAUUGGACAAUGGAGGCAACUCUGAUCCAGCCAUGCCGCGUGCAGGAAGACUGCCCUAUGGGUUGUAAACUGCUUUUAUAUAGGAAGAAAAAGAAUCACGUGUGAUUUGUUGACGGUACUAUAUGAAUAAGGAUCGGCUAACUCCGUGCCAGCAGCCGCGGUAAUACGGAGGAUCCGAGCGUUAUCCGGAAUUAUUGGGUUUAAAGGGUCCGUAGGCGGGAUAGUAAGUCAGCGGUGAAAGUUUGUGGCUCAACCACGAAAUUGCCGUUGAUACUGUUGUUCUUGAGUUAUUGUGAAGUGGUUAGAAUGUGUAGUGUAGCGGUGAAAUGCAUAGAUAUUACACAGAAUACCGAUUGCGAAGGCAGAUCACUAACAAUACACUGACGCUGAUGGACGAAAGCGUAGGUAGCGAACAGGAUUAGAUACCCUGGUAGUCUACGCAGUAAACGAUGGUUACUAGCUGUUCGGUCUAAUUGAGGAUUGAGUGGUUAAGCGAAAGUGAUAAGUAACCCACCUGGGGAGUACGUUCGCAAGAAUGAAACUCAAAGGAAUUGACGGGGGCCCGCACAAGCGGUGGAGCAUGUGGUUUAAUUCGAUGAUACGCGAGGAACCUUACCAGGGCUUAAAUGCAGUUUGACAGGGUUGGAGACAACUUUUUCUUCGGACAAAUUGCAAGGUGCUGCAUGGUUGUCGUCAGCUCGUGCCGUGAGGUGUCAGGUUAAGUCCUAUAACGAGCGCAACCCCUUUGGUUAGUUGCCAGCGAGUCAUGUCGGGAACUCUAGCCAUACUGCCAGUGUAAACUGUGAGGAAGGUGGGGAUGACGUCAAAUCAUCACGGCCCUUACGUCCUGGGCUACACACGUGCUACAAUGGUAGGGACAGAGAGCAGCCACUGGGUGACCAGGAGCGAAUCUACAAACCCUAUCACAGUUCGGAUCGGAGUCUGCAACUCGACUCCGUGAAGCUGAAUCGCUAGUAAUCGCAUAUCAGCCA